rnacentral:rRNA from 1 species
UACGUAGGGGGCGAGCGUUGUCCGGAAUUAUUGGGCGUAAAGAGCGUGUAGGCGGUCCGGUAAGUCCGCUGUGAAAGUCGGGGGCUCAACCCUCGAAUGCCGGUGGAUACUGUCGGGCUAGAGUGCGGAAGAGGCGAGUGGAAUUCCUGGUGUAGCGGUGAAAUGCGCAGAUAUCAGGAGGAACACCUAUUGCGAAGGCAGCUCGCUGGGACGUAACUGACGCUGAGACGCGAAAGCGUGGGGAGCAAACAGG